GGUCAAGGGCAGACAUGUUCCAGCUCUCUUGACGAGCUCCCAGAGGACUGGGAGUGGACUGGAUUCUGGCCAGAGCCAUUUAUUCUUGAAGAAAUUAGAAACCAGCGGGAUAUGGCUCUGCUUAUUCAGAAGGAGUAAGAAAUAAACUAAUGGGACAAGUGUGAUAGAUACCUGAAAGGAGACAGAAGCCCUGAUGAGUCUAUGAAGAUGACCCAAGAGAAGAUGCCUGCUAACCAUCUCCCUGGCUCAGAGAAUGUGAAGCCACCCAAUCAGCCCUUUACUUCAAUUCCAAGGGCAGCAAUAAUGCCUACCGUGGCCAGGACAAGGGUGAAGCAAGUGAAGUGCCUCGGGUGCAGCACUGAAGGAGGUGUUCACUUCCAGAUCUGAGGAUGUGCAGGUGGGCACCUGGGAAUGGGGGUCUCCUGAGAAGCUGUGCUCUGGGCACCUUGGGUGCCUCCCUCCAGUCCUGGCCUUUCUACUGCCUACAGAAAAGCAUUUUGGUUUAUUAGCCGGGCAGCUGUGGCAUCAAGAGUAAGACCA